rnacentral:lncRNA from 1 species
CCCCCCCCCCCCAAUGUUUACAAGGAGGAUAUUUUUCUUUUUUUUGUUACCGGUGGCAGUAGCAUUUUUUUGCAGAUGUAGCUUCGUAGUUUCCAUAAUUUCUUCUCUUUUUUUUUCCUUUAUGCUCUAUGGCAGCACUUGAACAAAGUAGAAACUUUUCUUGUAGGGCUACCUCGAUGGAUCCCUCUUGCCUCAUCAUCCUUCAUUGUUCUUGUGCCUACAGAGCACUGAAUAACUCUGCCAAGCUAAGCUUUGAUAGAUCUUUAGUAUUGUCCAAUGAAGCAAUAGUUACGUUAUUUCUCUCAGGUAAGGUUACAAGCAUCUUUUGAACUAUUCUAUUGUCAUUAAAUUCAGUUCUAAGUAUUCUUACCUUAUUUGAAAUCACAAGCAACCUGUUAGAAUAAUCCUUAAUGAUUUUAGAUUUCUUCAUUCGUUGUUGUCAUGCCCCAAGACGAUAAUGAUGGACAAGAACCAUAUACACUUAAUCUACAAUCACUUUAAGACAUACACAAGGUUAUGAGAUAAUAACGGGCAAAAUAUUCAAUAAGAGUUGCAUAUAUACACGAGGGAGUUACAUUAACAAAACUAUACAAUACAAUCUUACACGAUGUCCAUGAAGCCUCGAGUCAGUUUAACACGCUAUAAUACAAGUGACUAGUCAGUAUAGGGCCCUUCAUGCGCAACUAAGAACCCGUACAUGUAAUAAAAAAUACUAUACAUAGGCCAGCUCCAAAAAGAGAAGGAGCUCACCAAAAUACCAGCUGAAAACGACAACAGGGCCUAAUGUGGACGUCUUCUAUCCUGAGGGCCUAAGCCUGCAUCAAUAAAAUAUAGUGCCCCUAGAAUGUCAGUACAUAAAAUAACAUGUACUAGUAUGAAAGUAGACAGAAUAACAGUUGAACAAGUACAAAAUCUCAUACGAGUCAAACAUUAAAGUGAAAAUUAAGAGCCAAUAAUAACACAUAUAAGAUAUGAACUGGUAACCUAUGCACCAAUCUUACAGGAAUUUUUGUGUAAUGUUUAGAAAGGUGUUCAUAAUAAUAUAGCGACUAUAAUUUAUCUAGGUGAUGUAAGCAUCCUAUAAGUAAUACAAAUAAUCACAAAAUGGCCUACCUAAGGCAAUCUGAGGCAAGUAUAAAGCAUAUGCUACUCAAAUAAUUAUUGCUAUGAUCCCAUAUGUAUAAUUGUAAUCACAGUCUGUAACUAGGUAUGCUCCACCCAGGGGCUCACUAUGAGGGCCUGCCCGCAGGCCAUAUAUGCCAUAUAUUGGCUCGAGUCAGGGGAAACUAGUACAUGACAUUCCAGCUGACUCCAAAUACAAAUGAUUCCACAAAAAUGGGUACGCCCCAGUAUAUGGGCUCACUAUAAUGGUAUGGUCUCGAUCUUGUGCACAGAAUCACGUCGAGCAGUAUGCCAAGCCAAACCUAUGUACCCUCCCAUCGCAAUGCUUAUCAAUUAAUGCCUUGAAGGCCUAUAACAUGUGAAUUAAGAUAAUGGUUGUCUACCUAAUAUAUACAAGUACAACUAUGCUAUUACUAUUU